GUUAAGGUAGCAAAGAGGUAAUUGCGUUAGAUUUAGGAUCUGGGAUCAGGGGUUCGAAUCCUCUCUUUAAUU
rnacentral:tRNA from 1 species